AUUGAACGCUGGCGGCAGGCCUAACACAUGCAAGUCGAACGAGUGGCGGACGGGUGAGUAAUGUAUCGGAAACUGCCUGCUGGAGGGGGUUAACUACUGGAAACGGUAGCUAAUACCGCAUACCAUUGGAUGUGCCCAGAUGGGCUUCGCUAGUAGGUGGGGUAAAGGCUCACCUAGGCGACGAUCCUUAGCUGGGUUGAGAGGAUGACCAGCCCCACUGGAACUGAGCAACGGUCCAGACUCCUACGGGAGGCAGCAGUGGGGAAUAUGGCACAAUGGGCGAAAGCCUGAUGCAGCCAUGCCGCGUGUAUGAAGAAGGCCUUCGGGUUGUAAAGUACUUUCAGCGGGGAGGCGUUACCCGCAGAAGAAGCACCGGCUAACUCCGUGCCAGCAGCCGCGGUAAUAC
rnacentral:rRNA from 1 species